UCCACACCCAUGUGUGUAGGACCCCAAAGGAUCACCAUUAAAUUUGGCACAUAGCUCUAGAAAAGUUAUUACAUAGGUGUGAAACUUGACUUUUUUGGAGAUUUGUGCCAAAUUUAAUAGUGAUCCUUUGGAGUCCUACACACAUGGGUGAGGG
rnacentral:pre_miRNA from 1 species